GACGUAGGGCGCAAGCGUUGUCCGGAUUUAUUGGGCGUAAAGAGCUCGUAGGCGGCCUGUCGCGUCGACCGUGAAAACCCGCAGCUCAACUGCGGGCUUGCGGUCGAUACGGGCAGGCUGGAGUUCGGUAGGGGAGACUGGAAUUCCUGGUGUAGCGGUGAAAUGCGCAGAUAUCAGGAGGAACACCAAUGGCGAAGGCAGCACUCUGGGACGUGACUGACGCUGAGACGCGAAAGCGUGGGGAGCAAACAGG
rnacentral:rRNA from 1 species